AUAAAUCGUGCUAGGUUAUGUAAACGACAUGACCUAAGGCGUUUCAUACUGUGUCUUGCGCGUGUUUGAAACUAAUUUAUUACAUCUCUACUAUUAUAAAGCUAAACCCUAACCUACGGUGUCACAAGCUUUGAAACCAAAAAAACAAAAGAAAAGAAAAACCAAUAGCACCUCACAUACAAAACCGAAAGAAAAAACCACCACAAUGCGUAAGGAUGUUAAUUUUAAAUUGAGCCAAAAUAAAUAAAUAAAACACAACAGAAAAGACCACCACAAUGCCAGGAGGUUAUGUAAAGAUAUCAAAGGUCCUAAUUCUGCCACAUGUCAGAAGAUUGAAGAAGAGAGUUGUUGAAAUAUUGUUAAGACUGUUAGGCAGUUUUAGAGUUCUGUUAAAGUAGUUAGAAAGGCUAAGAGGUUAGAAACGUGUACACAAAGCUUUGUCAAGCUAGUAUAAAACCGAUUACUGUACUGUGUUGAAUAAUCAAGUAUGAAUACAUCAAUUCUUCUUCUAAGAUCUCUGCUUUUCUCUGUUAAACUCUGUUCAAUAUUGCUAUUCUCACAUGGUAUCAUCGCCAUAGUACGAUCCUGAGCUUCCGCAUUCCUUUUCUUUGCUGCAAUUUCUGUUCUUCUGUCUCUAUCCUCUCUUCUCUUCUUCUUUGUUCAUUCAUCGAGCUUCUUUCCCUCUUCAACCCCACUAUUCCCUUUCGUAGUCUUUGCUCUGCCUACCACCUGUUUGUUCUUUUACCUCACAGAAACUUCUGCUUGUUCUAUUGCCCAUUUCUUUUCUUCUCAAACCUAUUAUCUUCCUGAAUACUCAUCAUGGUGACUGCUACUCAACUUCAAAUUGUUCAAUCUCCGAUUACUACCUUAAUUCCCACUGUCUCUACUUCUGUGACAGUUAAGCUUGAUGAUGCAAAUUAUCUCACUUGGAAUUUUCAGAUGCAGCUUCUUCUUGAAGGUCAUGGCUUAUUGGGGUUUGUUGAUGGUUCACGGCUGUGUCCUCCUCGUUUUGAUGAAGAUUCUGCUGUUGAAGGUGUGGAAACUGAUGCUUAUGCAGUGUGGAAGAUGCAUGAUCGUGCCUUGAUGCAAUUGCUAAUUGCCACCCUUUCUUCUGCUGCAAUCUCAUAUGUCAUUGGGUGUACUAGUUCUCAUGAUAUGUGGGUUCAGUUGAAGGACAGAUUUUCUAUGGUUACCAAAGCUAGGAUUUUUCAGAUGAAAAGUGAGCUUCAGAAUAUCAAGAAGGGUGCUGACCCAGUCUCUCAAUACUUGCACAAGAUAAAGGAUGCUAGAGAUCAUCUUGCUGCUGCUGGGGUUUCUUUUGAUGAUGAUGAUAUUGUCAUCUUGGCUCUUAAUGGUCUUCCCCCAGAAUAUAAUACAUUUCGGUGUAUGGUUCGAGGCAGGGAAAAUGUGCUCUCUCUUAAAGAUUUUAGAUCUCAGUUGCUUGCUGAAGAGGCCAUUCUUGAACAUACUUGCUCUGCCACUCCUUUUGCCUCUGCAAUGAUGGCGAACAAUCAAUCAUUCCAAGGAACAUCUCUUGUUCUUGCUGACACUUCCCCGUCUGUCCCAUCUUCUAUUUCAUCUAGCCACAAUGGUGGUGUUCAUGGUGGUCUCAAUGGAGGUGUCCACUCUAGCUCUAAUGGUGGCUCUUUUUCACAUAAUGGUGGUUUCCAAUCUGGCCCUAAUAGAGGUUCCUUUUAUCGAGGAAGAGGCAGACCUCGGCAUCAGUUUUCUUCUAGUCCAAGACCGUAUCAAGCUCCACCUAAUUCUGGCCCUGGCAUCCUUGGUUCGGGUACUGAUAUUCCAACUUGUCAAAUAUGCAACAAGAAAGGUCAUCUUGCUGCUGAUUGUUAUCAGCGACAUCAGCAAUUCACAAGUCCUAGUUCCUCUGUUCAAUGCCAAAUUUGCUGGAAGUAUGGCCACACCGCUAUUCAGUGUUACCACAGAGGCAAUUUUUCCUAUCAAGGCAAACCUCCUUCAUCCAAUCUUACUGCAAUGCAUGCCGACUGUUCUCCUUCCUCAUCAGCUGAGCAAUUUUGGGUAGCUGAUACUGGAGCAACAGCCCAUAUGACGUCUGAUUUGUCUCAACUCAGUCUUGCUACCCCUUUCUUAGGAAAUGAGACUAUCACCACUGCGGGGGGUUCAGGUUUGAGUAUUUCUAGUGUUGGCUCUUCUUCUUUGAAUACUCCUCAGUGUUCUUUCCAAUUAUCGAAAGUUUUGCAUGUGCCAAAGAUAUCUCAGCAUUUGCUUUCUGUGCAUCGGUUAUGUAAAGAUAAUAACUGCAGAUUUAUAUGUGAUGCAUUUGGCUUUUGGAUUCAGGACAAACUCACGGGGAGUGUUCUUCUCAAGGGGCUGUGUAGAGCUGGCCUAUAUUCAAUUCCUUUCUUUCCUUCACAGCCUCAUCCUACUCCAGCUGCUUCUCUCCUCAAACAACAUUUCUGCUUUCUUGGACAUCCAGUAAACACUAGUCUGUGGCACAAGCGAUUUGGUCAUCCCUCCAAUAUCAUUACUACUGCUCUUUUACAUCAAACACAGGUUCCUUUUUCUUCAGACAAAGUCCAAUCUAUCUGUCAUCAUUGUUUAGAAGGCAAACUAGCUAAACUUCCUUUUCAUUAUCCAGCAGUAAAAUCUGUCAAACCUUUAGAGGUGAUUCAUAGUGAUGUGUGGGGUCCUUCUCCAACAAUAUCUGUUGAGGGGUUCAAAUAUUAUGUUAGCUUUGUAGAUGAGUGUACUCGAUUUACUUGGCUCUUUCCAAUGAUCAAUAAAGCAGAAGUUUACUCUAUUUUUGUUCAUUUUCAUGCUUACUUAGUCACUCAGUUCUCUGCUUCUCUUAAGGUUUUUCAAAGUGAUGGAGGUGGUGAGUAUCUUAGUCAUAAAUUUCAACAUUUUCUUCUUGCUAGAGGUAUCAUUCAUCAUAAAUCAUGUCCCUAUACACCUGAACAAAAUGGCUUAGCUGAGAGAAAACACCGACACAUCUUAGAGACUGCUAUCACUUUAUUGCAAACUGCUCAUUUACCACCAAAAUUUUGGUUUCAUGCUUGUGCUACUUCAGUCUACUUGAUCAAUAGGAUGCCUUGUAAAACUCUUCAUUUAAAAUCUCCUUAUUUCUUAUUGUUUGGAUCUGCCCCAGCCAUUACUCAUCUAAAGGUAUUUGGCUGUGCUUGCUUUCCUUUGCUCAAGCCUUAUAAUACAAACAAACUUCAGCCAAAAACUUCUACUUGUGUCUUUCUAGGCUAUGCAGGACAAUAUAAAGGCUAUAUUUGUUUUUCUCUCCUUACCAAUAGACUAUUUGUCACUAGACAUGUCCUAUUUGAUGAAACUAUGUUUCCAUUCACAUCUGUCCAUCCAGUAAGUAUCUCUUCAUCUCCGUAUCUCCCUUCCUCUUCUCCUCCUCCAUCCAUUUCAUUCACUAAUACUGUCUUAUCACCUCUCUCUUCUCUUUCCAUUGCCUCACCUUCUCCUUCCACCUUUGAAGCCAAUGAACCUUUGACUACUUCCCCUUCUGCUACACAUUCAGCUACACAGUCUCCUCUCCCUGUGGAUCCUGAUUUUCAGCCUGAAAGUCUUCGUGUUGUCUUGCCUCUACCAUCUAUAAAUCUGCAUCCUAUGACAACACGGUCUAAAAAUGGCAUCUCCAAGAGGAAGGCUUUUUCUGCUUCUACUUCUACUGAUUUCUCUACAAUUGAGCCUAGUUCUUUCAAGGCUGCUUCUCAAUCACCGGAAUGGCAAUCUGCCAUGCGGGAGGAAAUUGAGGCUCUUCAUGCUCAAGGUACUUGGGAUUUGGUUCCUCUCCCAGCUCAUAAGAAUCUUGUUGGCUGUAAAUGGGUUUAUAGGAUCAAGAAGAAUGCAGAUGGUUCUAUUGCUAGGCAUAAGGCUCGCUUGGUUGCUAAGGGAUUUAGUCAAGAGGAGGGUAUUGAUUAUUAUGAAACCUUCAGUCCGGUAGUUAAACCAACCACUGUUCGAUUAGUUCUGGCUCUGGCCGCUCAGUUUCAGUGGUCCUUACGGCAACUUGAUGUUAAAAAUGCGUUCUUGCAUGGUGUUCUUCAAGAGGAGGUUUAUAUGACACAACCUCAAGGCUUUGAGAGUAAGCUUUAUUCUUCUGAUUUUGUUUGCAGACUCAAGAAGUCCUUGUAUGGUUUAAAACAGGCUCCUCGUGCCUGGAAUGAAAGAUUUACUAGCUUCUUACCAAGCUUGGGUUUUCAAGCUUCAACUGCGGAUCCAUCUCUCUUUCUUCACCAUUCGUCACUUGGUACUGUGGUUUUGCUUCUCUAUGUUGAUGAUAUCAUUCUUACUGGCAGUAAUUCAUCUCUUAUUGCAUCUGUAAUUAGUGCUUUAACUCAGGAGUUUGAUAUGAAGGAUUUAGGCCAAUUGACUUAUUUUCUGGGGCUCCAAAUUUCAUAUCAGUCUGCUGGCUUGUUUGUGUCUCAAACUAAGUAUAUCAAGGAACUGCUUGGCAAGGUUGAUUUGCAGGAUUCAAAACCGUGUCCUACUCCUUGUCUUCCUUAUCACAGACUCUUGAAAGAUGAUGGCAAACCUUAUUCUCAUCCAGAGCAGUAUAGAAGCAUUGUUGGUGCUUUGCAGUACCUCACUUUCACAAGGCCAGAUAUUGCCUUCUCAGUGAAUCAAGCUUGUCAAUUUAUGCAUAAUCCUAUGGAAUCUCAUGUUGUGGCAGUUAAGAGAAUCCUGAGGUAUUUGAAAGGAACCAUUGAUUUUGGCAUUUGGUUUAAGCCUGGUCUUCUUCAUCUGCACGCUUAUAGUGAUGCUGACUGGGCUGGGGAUCCUAAUGACCGCAGAUCUGUUUCGGGAUUUAUUGUUUACUUAGGCUCUAGUCCUAUUUCUUGGGCUUCUAAGAAGCAACAUACUGUCUCUCGUUCGUCCACUGAGGCAGAGUAUAGGGCUUUGGCGAUUACGGCUGCUGAACUUGCAUGGAUCAGACAGUUGUUCUGUGAUCUGCACGUUCCAUUACAUGUUCCUCCUUUAAUUCAUUGUGACAAUAUCUCUGCUAUUGCUCUCUCUUCCAACCCAGUGUUUCAUUCCCGAAUGAAACAUCUACAGAUUGAUUAUCAUUUUGUUCGAGAACGAGUCAUUCGGGGUGAUUUACUUGUGCAACAUGUCUCUUCUGCAGAACAAUUUGCUGACAUUCUCACUAAGGGGCUGUCUAUCCCUUUAUUCCAGCAUCAUUGUUCCAAUCUCAUGCUUGGCUCCUCCAAGCAUGAGAUUGAGGGGGCAUGUAAAGAUAUCAAAGGUCCUAAUUCUGCCACAUGUCAGAAGAUUGAAGAAGAGAGUUGUUGAAAUAUUGUUAAGACUGUUAGGCAGUUUUAGAGUUCUGUUAAAGUAGUUAGAAAGGCUAAGAGGUUAGAAACGUGUACACAAAGCUUUGUCAAGCUAGUAUAAAACCGAUUACUGUACUGUGUUGAAUAAUCAAGUAUGAAUACAUCAAUUCUUCUUCUAAGAUCUCUGCUUUUCUCUGUUAAACUCUGUUCAAUAUUGCUAUUCUCACAAG
rnacentral:lncRNA from 1 species